rnacentral:lncRNA from 1 species
GAGCAAGUCCCUUCAUCAUCUACAGCCUAUCUAGUGGGUACUCGAAGGUUAUCCAGACCAAGUAAUCCUCCCCUAUAUUUAUAAGACUAUGUAACCAAAGGCUCCAAACAAUCCUGCUCAUAUCCCUUAUCCUCAUAUGUCACCUAUGCACAACUUAAGCCAGUGUAUCUGCAAGCACUAUCUGCUUAUUCAGCACUGUCAUAGCCAAAGACAUUCAGAGAAGCCUUUGCUGACCCAAAGUGGAUACAAUCUACACAACUGGAGGUAUCUUCUUUAAAAGACAACAAUACUUGAGGUAUUGUUGACUUGUCACCUGGUACCAAAUAGCUGCAAGUGGAUUUUAAUAUUAAGUAUAAAGCCAUAGGAGAGGUGGAGAGAU